GAGCAUGAGUUCAAUGACCGGAGAAAAUGUCCUGCAUUCGAUACACACUGCAAAGCAUGUGGAAAGCCCAACCACUGGAAAGAAAUGUGUAGAUUAACAAAAUCUCACAAAUACAAUUAUUUGAACUGUCAGAU